GUGGGGAAUAUUGGACAAUGGGGGGAACCCUGAUCCAGCCAUGCCGCGUGGAGGAUGAAGGUCCUCUGGAUUGUAAACUUCUUUUAUAUGGGACGAAAAUGGGGCUUUCUAGCUCAACUGACGGUACCAUAUGAAUAAGCACCCGCUAACUCCGUGCCAGCAGCCGCGGUAAUACGGAGGGUGCAAGCGUUAUCCGGAUUCACUGGGUUUAAAGGGUGCGUAGGUGGAUUGGUAAGUCAGAGGUGAAAUCUCCGGGCUCAACUCGGAAACUGCCUUUGAUACUAUCAAUCUUGAAUAUUGUGGAGGUUAGCGGAAUAUGUCAUGUAGCGGUGAAAUGCUUAGAUAUGACAUAGAACACCAAUUGCGAAGGCAGCUGGCUACACAUAUAUUGACACUGAGGCACGAAAGCGUGGGGAUCAAACAGGAUUAGAAACCCUGGUAGUCC
rnacentral:rRNA from 1 species